rnacentral:rRNA from 1 species
AUGCUUAAACCGCGCCCACCUAAUUCUGCUGCCAAAAAUAGAAGAAGCAAAUACACCAGGAUCCUACCGCCCGAUCUCUCUCCAAAACUGUCCCGUCAAAGCUACCGCCAAGAUCCUCACCAACAGAUUAAAACCGCUGAUCCCACUGCUUGUUCACGGAAACCAGACUGGCUUUAUCUCAGGCGUUGCAUCGCGGAAAACUUUAUCUAUGCUACGGACCUUAUCGGCUCCUGCCAUAAUCAAAAAGCCCCAACCAUGGUCAUAAAACUAGACUUCUCAAAAGCCUUCGACACUCUCUCCUGGGAAUCUCUCCACGCCAUCCUCCACUGCCGCGGCUUCCCGCCAAAAUUCACGACCUGGAUCCAGGAUAUCUUCUCAACAAGAAAAACGACCGUCAUGCUGAACGGGCUCCCAGGAAACUGGAUAAACUGCAAGGACGGACUCAGACAAGGAGACCCCAUAUCACCCUACCUUUUCAUCAUCAUUGCUGACCUCCUUCAACAAAUGAUCACACAACACUGCGACGCUCGGCACCUAACACACCCCCUGUUCACACACCUGCCACCGACGGUUCUACAAUAUGCCGAUGACACCCUCAUAAUCGCCAAGGCAUCCAAUGACGCCGCCAUGCAGCUAAAACACAUUCUCCAAAAUUUUGCAAUGGCUACAGGCCUCACGAUAAACUACACAAAAACUACUUUUGUACCUAUGCAUGUUUGCCCUUCUGUGGCAGACUCCAUUGCUACCAACUUGCAAUGCACAACCUCAACCUUUCCACAAAUCUACCUAGGCCUCCCCCUGGCACCGACCCGUCUACCCCUAAACGCCUUUCUACCCAUUAUCGAACGAUGCCGAAAAUUCUUGUAA